rnacentral:piRNA from 1 species
UGAUAGUGAUGAUGGUGAUGAUAAUGGU